GGAGAUUUCUGGGGACCCUUUGGUGACAUUUUGGUGACCCCUUGGUGGCACUUUGGGGACACUUUGGUGACCCGGGGACGUUUCUGGGGCCCGCCCGCAGACGCUGUACACGUACCCCGAGAACUGGCGCGCCUUCAAGGCGCUCAUCGCCGCGCAGUACUCGGGCGCCCGGCUGCGCGUGCUCUCGGCGCCGCCGCACUUCACCUUCGGCCACACCAACCGCAGCCCCCAGUUCCUCAAGAAGUUCCCCCUGGGAAAGGUCCCGGCCUUCGAAGGGGACGACGGGUUCUGCGUCUUCGAGAGCAACGCCAUCGCCUACUAUGUGAGCACGGAGGAGCUGCGGGGCAGCACC
rnacentral:lncRNA from 1 species